UAGAGCAAGUACACCGUAUCGCUAAAUAUCUGGUGUUUGAUUUCUUCAAAGUGUAAAACAUUAAAUGGCAUGAUACAAAUAUAAUUUUGAUGUAAGUUAUAACGUCGAUAAAAUAUCAAGAAUGUUGCGCUUCUGGAUAGCUUUGUUGGCGAUACAGGUAUCUGCACGAGUACCGUCGGAAGAACAUUUUGUACGCCGGGUCGCCAUAAAAAUGAGAGAGGAUUACCAGAACACCACACUGAAAACACUGUCGAAAUAUGACUUCAAACUUCUAUACAAGAUAACUCCACAGACGUAUAUCUUGGUAUAUCAAGGCUCUGGAAGGAGUUCCGAUUUGAAUAUUCUCCUAAAACAACUGAGGAACCGAUACCAUCAUCAGAUAUUAGGUAUUGAAAAAAUACAGGUUUAUGAGGAUACGCUGAAACCUGAAUUUCGAACACAAAACCUUAAUGGUUCAGCAUAUGAGGAUUGUCUCGAGUGCGGGAAUUACUAUGGGAUGGGUGUACCAGAUGUAUGGUCGCUUGGUUACACAGGAAAAGGCGUAAUUAUUGCAGUGACAGAUGUGGGAAUUCAUACUAAUCUUAAAGAUCUGAGAAACAAUAUUAAUUCAGAUUUGUGCUACAAUUUUAUCGAUGACAGCAAGAAGGUUACACCAGAAUACUGCAGGAAAAGGCAUCAAAAUUUUCCUCGCAUGGCGACAACUGUGCAAGCCUUAUUGUAGCUGAAUUUGGUAAUGGAAUAUGUGCAUCUGGAAUAGCUUUCAACUCUAAAGCUGUUGGGCUGAAGAUAUUUACUGUUACUCUCUAUAAGGGAAUAUUUCCGGAACUUAAGCCGACAUUUUCAACAGGAUCAGAUACAAUAGCAAGGGCGUUAGUUCACAACAUCUCCAAAAUUGACAUAUUUUCUAAUGCUUGGGCACCAACGAAGCGGUUUUCUCCUCUACCCAUGGUAAUGGAGGAUGCUAUUGAAUAUGGUGCGAAGACAGGUCGCCACGGGCUAGGAACAAUAUACGUAGUUCCCACAGGACCUGCCGGAAAUGGUUUAGCGAACAACAUUCAUACCAUUGCAAUCAAUGGUGUCGGAAGAUUUGGAACCAUUCCCCAAGAUUCAUUUCUUAGCGCCAGUGUUAUUACUUCAGGACUUUCUGAAGGCAGUAAUAUAUCAGCCGAAAACAUGGUAAGGUUUCAACAAAAUGCAUUGAAUGAAUAAAUGCGUUUUACAUUUAUCAAGCAAACAAUAACCCAUGAGCCUAAUUUCGUAGGUUAUUUCAGAGUCAAAGUUAAUAAUUUGUUCGCUUUUCACUUCGUCUACACCCAGUUCUGCUCAGUAUUAUUCAUAUUGAUAGAGUACCAGAUGCGUAAUGUUAAAGUAAAGAAGGCGUAAUGAGCGUUAAUAACAAAAGAAGGUGGCACCCUUAAUAACAUGUUUAGGUAAUAGCAUAAGCUGAUCGUCAUCCGAUGUACAAUUAUUGAAAAUGUCAAAUGUACACUUUUUUAUGCAAAUGGCGUCGAAAAAUCACGUUUUAGCCUAGACAUAAAUAGUUGUGACGUUGUCGUUUUCACGGCGAUUAAUUUAGUUUCGGGCGCCAAUUUAAUUCACUUUUUUCAUUUAAUAUAGCAGGCCCGAUGAAAUAUCAAAUAUGUACUCCAAGAAUUCGCCGAAGGAGUGCUUACUUUAUGUAAAAAUCGUUCUACGAAAUCAUUGUUUUCAAGUUGUGUGUAAAACCUAUUUCAUACAUCUUAAAAAAAACAACUGUAUUCAUUUUACUGUAAAAUGAGCAAUAAAAUACAGGGGUCUUCGACUUCGUUUUUGCUGUAUUGUCUUUAAAUUUCCCCUACCAUUCUUAUCAAGCACAGAUUUUGUGCAUCAAAAUUUCGUAAAGAACUUUUUGUUUUUGGGAAAAAUAAAUUUAUUGCAAAAAUGUUUACAAAAGCAUAAAUUUCAUUUUAACCGAAUUCUAAUUUUGUAAACCAUUUUCCGAUUUCUUUCCGAUUUUUAUUGUCACACCUGUAUACCCGAAUACACGUUACACGCAAAAAAGAUACUUCUUAUCAAACAUUUUACCGCUUGUGCUCUCCUAAAUAGAUUUUUUUUCUAAUUUUCUGAAAAUGUUCUUGAAAUGUUUUUGAAUAAAAUAAGAUUACAAAAAUCCUUGACUACUGGGGUCAUUUUCACAAUAUACAGUGAGCAAACAACAUCAGAGGUUAAUCUCAAAAUUUCAAAGAAAACGGAGAACAGGUCUUCUUUGAAAUGUUGAACAAAAAACAAAGACAAAUAUCAAACAGGGAAUGCCACGUACCUAAAACGCAGCCUCCCCAAAACGAAACCCACAGCACGCAGACGCGUGCACCACAA
rnacentral:misc_RNA from 1 species